UACAGAGGUCACAAGCGUUAUCCGGAUUUAUUGGGCGUAAAGCGUUUCGUAGGUUACUUGCCAAGUUGCUCUUCAAAUACCGAGGCUCAACCUCGGGAAGGGGAGUAAGACUGGUAAGAUUGAAUAGUGGUGGGGUUUCUAGAACUGGUGGUGUAGUAGUGAAAUACGUUGAUAUCAUCAGGAAUUCCAAGGGCGAAGGCAGGAAACUAACCAUUUAUUGACACUGAGGAACGACAGCUAGGGGA
rnacentral:rRNA from 1 species